rnacentral:rRNA from 1 species
AGAGUUUGAUCCUGGCUCAGGACGAACGCUGGCGGCGUGCCUAACACAUGCAAGUCGAGCGGGAAGCUUUUAAUUGAGACUUCGGUUGAUUUUAAAAGUGGAGAGCGGCGGACGGGUGAGUAACGCGUGAGUAACCUGCCUUCAAGAGGGGGAUAACACAGAGAAAUUUGUGCUAAUACCGCAUGACACCGUAGUAUCGCAUGAUACAUCGGUCAAAGAUUUAUCGCUUGAAGAUGGACUCGCGUCUGAUUAGCUAGUUGGUGGGGUAACGGCUCACCAAGGCGACGAUCAGUAGCCGAACUGAGAGGUUGAUCGGCCACAUUGGGACUGAGACACGGCCCAGACUCCUACGGGAGGCAGCAGUGGGGAAUAUUGCGCAAUGGGGGCAACCCUGACGCAGCAACGCCGCGUUUGAGGAUGACGGUUUUUCGGAUUGUAAACUUCAUGUUCGGGUGGGAAGAUAAUGACGGUACCACCGGAGAAAGUCACGGCUAACUACGUGCCAGCAGCCGCGGU